AGUGAACGCUGGCGGUAGGCCUAACACAUGCAAGUCGAACGGCAGCACAGUAAGAGCUUGCUCUUACGGGUGGAGAGUGGCGGACGGGUGAGGAAUACAUCGGAAUCUACUUUUUCGUGGGGGUUACGUAGGGAAACUUACGCUAAUACCGCAUACGACCUCCGGGUGAUAGCAGGGGAUCUUCGGACCUUGCGCGAUUGAAUGAGCCGUUGUCGGAUUAGCUAGUUGGCGGGGUAAAGGCCCACCAAGGCGACGAUUCGUAGCUGGUCAGAGAGGAUGAUCAGCCGCACUGGAGCGGAGACGCGGUGCAAACUCCGACGUGAGGCAGCGGUGAGGAAUAUUGGACAAGGGGCGCUAGCCUAUACCAGCCAAUCCGCGUGGGUGAAGAAGACCUUCGGGUUGUAAAUCACUUUUGUUUGGAAAUAAUAGCAGCAGGUUAAUACCCCGCUGUUCUGACGGUACCCAAAGAAUAAGCACCGGCUAACUUCGU
rnacentral:rRNA from 1 species